ensembl:lncRNA
AGAAUUUACAACACCCCUAUGGAAUUCAUCCCAGCAUCAGUGAAGUCAGAGUGUGAUUUACCACUGAAGUCGAUAGCCCUGGAUUGCAGCCAGGUAAUGUAAAAUGGACUUAGAGGCGUGCUCAGCACAAAGGUAUGUCCUUGAGAAAGCAGGUUAAUGCAAGCAAGAGCUGCCCUCUGGAACUUCAUGCAGACUAGCACUUGGAUGUCUUCAGGAAAUGAACACAAGUGGGAAAGUAUCUGUGAUGGAAAAGGGACUUGGCUUACUCUAAGGGUGGAAAUGAAGCAAAUCAGGCCUGGACAGACUGGAGAGGGCUUCAGACACAGAACAAAUCGAGGGCUGCCAAUCACUGUCUGACCCAAAGAAAGAAGCUGUGUAUCUCCAGGGCAGUGAAAGGCACAGCAAUGAGGUAUAUGCUAGUGGUGAGCUUCACCCCACUGCCUGGGAAACAUACACCCACACUGGACAAGAGAAAGCAUCACACAAAUCUCAGUCCUACAGGGUAGGCUGGAUGCACCUCUGGAUCUCAGGGAAAGGCUAUCCAAAGCUGUCCCACUGCAGACUGGAUAUAUGCUAAAGAACAGAGUGGAUUGGUUCUUCUGGGACCAAGAUGCUUUGACCUCUGAAUAAAGCAGUGAUGAAAAACAGCUUUCAAAGAACUUCUCUCUUUGAAGACAGUAUAUGUGGAGUAUACACGAGAAAAAAAAAAGAAGAUUAAUUGCUCCCCCAAACACCGCAAUAAUACAAUGGUUUAACAAUGGAAAAGUUUGACUUAGAGCAGAUUAAUUACCUUCUAACAGCUUUAAAUUAAAAUAGAUAAGCUGUUCCUUCCCUAAAGUUUUGAGCUGGAUUCUCAAAUAUUAUGAUUUAUAACCAAUGUAAUCAUUGUUUUCCUCAUCUGUUCCACGUAGCUGAAUGCUUUAGAGUACUGGAAUUACUUUUGUGCUGUAUACAGAGCAGAAUAUUGCCAUGUCCAAUGGCAAGCAAAAGGCUUAUACUCAAUUGGUUCCCAUGCUGUCAGCUAGAGUUAUAUUCUACCAUUGCUUCUGCCUCCUAUACAUGUUUCAAAAAUUUUCACCUGUCCUGUUCAAGACAGAAUUUCACAAGUCCAGAACAUAAUACACAUCACAAUUCAUGUUACCCUUCAUUUUUUUUCCUGUAAAAUUUUCAUCUUACCAAAAACACUGCUACAUACAUCUCUUGACAUCUCUUAAUGGGUGUGUGUUUCCAGGCAUGUUUCCGUAUUUAAAUGCAGAUGUGAGCAUAGUGGAAAAUUACCAUGGAAUUAAAGAUGGAAUCCUACCAACACCCACCUGUUAAACACAUGCAAAUGCUCUCUGGGGAAAUGGCAUGCACCCCAGUGAAUCACAGCCCAUGGUAGCCCAGGGCUGUCUCCAUUCCUUUGACCCACAGCUGAGGGUGGAGACUUUUACAGCAACGGUCCCCUGUGAGCUCUGCCUAUCUUUCCUGUAUGCAUGUGCAAGGUCACCGUAAUGGUUGCACGUGGAGGCCAUGCCUCUUCCUCUCAAAUACGUGGGCUUGAAGCCACACAGAAAUCAGAGAAUCAUUAAGGUUGGAAAAGACCUCUAAGCUCAUCUCAUCCAACCACUAGUCCAUGCCCACCAUGUCCACCAUGCCCACUAACCAUGUUCCUCAGUGCUACAUCCACCCAGUUCUUGAACACCCCCAGGGAUGGUGACUGCACCAUCUCACUGGGCAGCCUGUGCCAAUGCCUCACCACUCUUUCUGAGAAGAAAUGUUUCCCAGUAUCCAACCUGAACCUCCUCUGGCACAACGUAAGGCCAUUCCACCCCAUCCUAUCACUGUUACCUGGGAGAAGAUGCCCAAUCUCACCCCAACCUCCUUUCAGGCAGUUGCAGAGAACCAUAAGGUCUCUGAUGAGCCACCUCUUCUCAAACUGAACUCACUUGCUCCCCAUAAGACUUGUAUUCCAGACCUUUCACAGGUUUGUUGCUCUUUUCUGGACACACUCCAGGGCCUCUGUCCUGUAUUCAGUUUCAGAUCAAGACUAGCACUCUCAUUCUUUAUCCCCGCUUCACGGUUCAACGUAGUGUUAUUAACACCAGCAAUAGCGCUUUCGUUAUCAAAACAUUUUCUGUUCACUUGUUUAUUUUAGCAGACCUGAGAAGUCUGAUUAAUCGGUUGUGGGUUUUUUCAUAUUAAGUAUAAAUUGGUGGCAAAUUUCUAAAUUUUCUCCAUCUGUUUUGGGCUGGAGGUGUUAGGGUUGUAAGUUACAGUAUUGUAUGACAUGGGAGUGUACAAUGUGAGAAAUCAUUUGAAUGUUACACUGCAACAAAACAUGCCCUUUCUUACCUAACUAACUUCAACCAGUACUUUAAAUAGUUCAAUUAGCUCCUAAGAGAGCAUGAAGAACAGAAGAAUUACCUUUCCUUCCCCACUGUAAGUUCUUGCCUGCAUUUCUCCCACUCCUUCUCCUGCUGUUCUUCAGGAAAUAUUUUCAGUGUGGUUACAACAUGUGUGAUCUGCCUGCGUAGAGAAAGCCAUAAAUCCACAUUACCAAAUGUUUAUCUGAGCUUUUGAACAUCUCGGAGAGCAUGGUAUCAGCAUCCCGCAAACCUCAGGGUACAGCAGCGCAGGAGAGGGAGCUGGCCAGAUCCUAUGUCAUUCCAAAGAGCAUGUUGAUCUGGGUAUGUAAUGAGAAGCAGGUCUGCAGGAAGGUUUCCUUGGUGGCAGUUCCAGCACACAGGUGCAGGUGCACUGCCCAGACAGUGCUGAACAAUGCAUUUCUGGCAUAGCGAGGACUCCAGUUUGGCUCGAUGCUUGCAGCGUUCAUGUCCAAACCCUGUUACUAGAUCAGCCUGGAAUGUCAUUCCAAAUCCAUGGUCUCCAGGCACUAAUCAAGAGAGGGGGCCAGCAGGAGGGGGCUGGCCUAUUGAAAACUCAGAGCGAAGGAGAAACACAGCCUCCAAAAAUACUGUAUCACUGAAAGGAAUUAAUUCACUUUCCUCGCUUGUGGUCAUUUUCAGAGACAUAAUAAAUAUAACCUGUGGGACCCAUCCAGUACCUGCAGUUAAGUUGUCAUCAUGUGCAGAUGUAUAGUGUCUUUACUAUAGCAGUGCAUUACAUUAUUUCCUUAAAUUGGUCUCAUACUUCAGCCCCUGGAAAGGCACCAGAAAAAUUUACUGGGGCUGGGAGAUUUGGAUUGCACUAAUGGCCCCGCUGGGCUUACUUGGAACAUCAUGGGAACUCCCUGCCACUUGCCCAUGAGCCUAGGAUGAAAGGAAAGUGAAGAGCUCUGAGAGCUCUGCUUUCUUUGUGUGUAUCCUCUUUAAAGAAAGUUGCAGAAACAAAAUAAAAAUGACCACAACUGUACUGCCUUGGUUUAAGUGGCAUAUUUUAAGACAUGACCAUUGCAAACAGAAAUGAAGAUCCUGUGAAGUGCUCUUCAUUUUUAUGUAAAUACUACCUUUUCACUGUUGAGAUGUAAGGAUGAGCAGUAUAAUUGGAAGCAGAAGACCUUUUCAUUAAAAAAAAGAAAAAAAAACAGGUUAAUAGGCAUCAUGCAGGAGAAAAGAGAGGUACAUGGCAUUGUGAUAAUCCAAGAAUAAAGGAAAACAGAGUGAUAUUGAACAACAUCUUUAACUGGAAAUACUCUUUGCUAUGCAAUAAAAUUAUUUGCAGACCUCAGCCACAGCACAGGAGAUAAGUAGGCUCAGUCUGGGGUACUGAGGAAUUUUUCAACCAAAUGUUUAUUUCAAUACCCUGAUUGCUCAGACCUAACCAAGGAUGUGGGAAAUCCGGUUGCAUAUCCAUCUUUCAUUGGAUAUUUAAUUAUUGACAUAGUUCAGAUGGGAAAGCUCAAAAAAGGCAGCCACAAAAGCCAGUAAUCAUGGGGUUAUUCUGAACUUGUUGUGGGUUGUUGCCAGUCUCUCUCUGCUCCUUUCCCCCUCUCUUCUUCCCUCCUGAACAUUUUAAAGAUAAUAGGUCUUCCCCAAAAAGGAGCUCUGGAAGCUUUAGGGCAGGGUUCAUUUUUUGCUUGUUUGUUUGUUUCUUUCUCCCAAGGAGUUAAAUAGAUCCCUCAACAGUUUCUCUCAUCGAUAUUAAUUUCAGUUCCUGGAAGUUAACCAUCAAGAGCCCACCUGCAGUCUCCUGGGACAGGCACAGAUAUGGGCUGUUCAUUGCAUUGGGGCUGGGCUGAACAUCUCUAGAAAGAGCAGUGAGGCACUGGCAUGGGCUACCCAGGUUGGUGGUACAGUCACUGUCCCUGGAGGUGUUCAAGAACCAUGGAGAUGUGGCACCGAGGGACAUGGUGAGUGGGCAUGGUGGGGGUGAUUAGUGGCUGGACUUGGUGAUCUUGGAGGUCUUUUCCAACCUUAAUGAUUCUAUGAUUCAAAUUAUAAUUAGCCAGCCAAGCUUCAACCAUGCUAAGCAAAAUUGAGGUCACGCCCCAUAGCCCGAACUAAAGCUAUGGUUGUGUAUUUAGCAGAAUUGUUUCAGUUUUGUUAUGAUAACCAGACACUGUCUCAGUUCUGCACUUCUUCCUGUGCUAUCUGAACUCUUCUUCCUCUCCCUCCACACUUCAUAUACUUUUCUUCCUAGCAUAGUUUUUCAACAAGCAAUGUAAGUAAUCCUAGUUCCUAGUGCCUUAUGCUAAUAAGCAUAAGAUAUGCUUAUUAUUUUAUGUGAAAACAUGUUCAAUAAUUAAAGCCUCAAUUCAAGAGCCUUAUUCAUUUUUCUUGCUUGUCCAAGAGCGUAAAUUCAUGCUCCAAGUGCUUUUCUAAAUAAGGAUGUAUUGAAGUGAAUGCCAAGCUAAGUCCCCCACUUGAGACCUACCCCAAUUAGCUGUUAUUGUUUCUACUGUUAUUAAUUACACUGUAGUCAUGCCAGGGAGCACAGGUGGUGGGCACCUUGGAGGGGCCAUCAAAAGGCAGUGUGAAAGGGUCAGGCACAUGUUUCAUGCAUGAGAAGUGGCCAGGUCUGUGGCAUGUUGGCUGGCAGACCUUAAGCAAACAGCUGAACAAUCUAGAAGAACUUGAUAAAAACCAGCAAGACAGCACCAGCAUAUAUCCAUUAUGUCAGCACUGCGAGGAUUAAUUCAGUAUCACUUCUAGUCCACAUCAAGGGAAAACUGAGGCUUGUGGGAAGAUGUACAGCUGUCUGGUGAGGCAAGAUAUAUAGCACUGGGCCUUGUGGCCUGCAGAGCUCCUUUUUUAAUGAGUGAAUGCACAGAGGAGUGUAGAAAAAUUAUUCUCUUUAUUUUCUGAGAACCUGCGAGAGGAGAAGAGCUUGUGUUUAGGUCUGGUUUCCCAUCUCCCUGUGCAGCAUAACACUGUCUUCAUGCAAGUAAAGUGCCGUGAAUCAUUUCUGCUUCUCAAAUUACACAUGGAAGCUUUAACCCAAAUCACCUUUCAAACAAGCACAUGGCCAAUUCAUGUUUUCUCAAAGGGUUUCCCUACUUUUCCCUUCUUUGAGGUGAUAUAAGACUGCAUGAACAUAAAGGGCAACACAGCCUGCCCCUGACACCAAAAGCUUUUCUCUCCUAGGAUUUUAUUAACUUGCAGUUUCCAUUUCCUAUUUCAAAUGUAUAGGUAGAUUGCUCAAAGCAGUAAAAAGACAACCUUUCCUGUAGAAGACUUUAUCUUUCUUAAGAGACUGAAGCUUGAACUGGAAAAAAAAGGGAGAAAUUAGAAGUGAAAGAAACAAUAUUUGCAGUAUUUAAGUAUAAGCCAGAUGUGGAAGUACACAUCUCCAAAUUAAACAUUUACUGAGUUGGCAGCAAUGGAAUUUUCUUCUCACACAUGUAAACGUCAGGCCUGCGUGCAGUCUAAUUUCUACCUCCACAUCUACCUGCCACUUGCUCUCUGUUGCCUCUAUCCUUCCCUGAGUUGAUUUUUAUUUGAGCUCCCUCAUUUCACUAUUCAUUUUCUCAUAGCAUCAACAACGCCUGGUUUGGUAUUAUUGUGAUAGUGGUCAACUGACACAGAAAGCAGUUGCAACCAAAAAUCCAUGUGCGCCUGUAAGUAUCAAGGUGUGGUGACAAAACUGAAAAAACACAUCUCUACUUUUUGUGAGGUACAAAACAAAAUGUUGCCCUAGUAGAAUUCUUUGAAAUGAGUAUUCCUUUUCUCAGAGGUCCAACGUAAAUCACUGUACUAGUCAGCAAAACCUUUACAAAAAAAAUAUAAAGGAAUGUUGAAGACAGAUUUUUUUUUUCUCAACUCUGAAUUAUUUUACACUCUACUACUGUAUGUAAUGUAUGGUAAUCCCCAAAAUUAGGGGCUGAAUUCUGUCUAAUUCUUGCCAAAAUUGGACAUGGAAAAUCUUGGAAACUCAUGACUUUUUUCCUGUUUUCCUGAAACAAUGCUUGACUUACAGGUCUUCACAGAUGAUGAACAUGGUACAUGGUACCUUGGUAUACCUGACAAUAAAAUGGGAGGGAAUUCCAACCCCAGCUAAUGAAUGACUGCCAAACACUACACCCACUCACUGCCAAAGCAGACCACAGUUGAGCUGCAAGGAAAGAAGGGCAUGAUCUGAUGGGAUGGUUCUUGCCAAUAGCAAAGAACAACAUGCUGUUUCUGAAAGCACCCGUGUGUCAUGGUGCAUCACCGCAAAGCCCUGAGUGCUGGACCUCCCAUGCUCAGGCUGAUGCAACAAGUUUCACUGCUGAUGAGAUAAGGAAAUGAUUUCAGACCAUUACUUUAGAGAAAAACCUAGGACCCUUGCUCUACAGCAAAUGGCUUCUUAUCUAGAUCUGCUUUAGGAAAGACUGUGCACUAGUAAGAAGAAAUUAAAUAUAUUCUCAAAGACAUUCAUCUCAUCCCCUUUCAUAAGCAGAACUGAGAGAGAUGCUCCAUGUGUAGCUGAUCAGACAAAAGGAGCCCAAACUUUGCUUUUUGCUGGGCUUCACUCAGCAGGUUUUUUUGGUACUGUUCCAUGAAAUGAACAUUCUCCAUUUUCUUUGAACAAAUUGUAUUACACUUGUUUCUCAUCAGAUUACAUAAAUUAGCUGAGAGGGAAUGGAUUUAAUUACAGUCCAGAUUCCAGACCUCUUAAGAACUUACAGCCUAACACAUUCCUUUCAUUUAAUAAACUGGAACCAAAUGAGGAUUAUAUCAUAUAAAUAAUAUUCCCUUGAUAGGGCAAUGCAAUAAAAUGGCAAAAAUACUCAGAGGAACCAUGUAGAUCAAAUACAAGAGACUCUGAUAUCACCCAUCGGAUUUAAAAUAUGAACCUCACAUGAACGUAAUUGUUCGAUAUUUUUAUCCUGUACUAUGAGUAAGAACCUGAUUCAGAGGGCCUUGAGCCCAAGGUUUAAUAUCUUCUGACAGCCUCAAACAGCUAAUGAAAAAAUGUGUUGCAGCAAAGUGUGGGUUUUCAUAUUUAAAAGAUAAUUUGAUAGCCUUGUACAAGAUCCUAAGCUCUCCUGCAAAAUCCAAGAUCUACAUGUCAGUGUCCCGAGUGACUAAAAGUAAAUAAAGCCCUCAGAAAGGGCUUCAAGAAAGCUCUGAGUGAGGCAGUUUUCUGAACCAAAUAAUUCUUUAAGAAGGAUGGCAGCAUUUUGGAACAACUUAAAUGAAUUUCUGACACACUUUGGAAAAGCUGGGUAGACAAUACAGAGGCAGAGGAACAAGGCUGCUGGGACAAGGGAUAACCAUUAAAUGCACAAUUAGCUGUAAGAAGGUUCUUUGUAGAUCACUGAAAAAUGGUUGAAGACAGUUUUGAUGACAGGUUACGUAGUCACAGCUCAUCUAAUCCUAAAGUUGUAUUUAAUCUGGCAUGCAAGUGCUAAUCCAGGAUCCAGCAUGUGAAGUUCAAAUUUAGACUCAGAGCAAGAAGCAAGGCAUAUUUGCCCAUUCAGUAUAAAGGUUUACAGGGACAUGGUAAAUCUCUGCCAACAGCACUUUUAAAUCAGAACUGUAUACCUUUAUAAACUCUUGGUCAGUUACCCAGACGUGCUCUAUUCAAGACUUCAGGAAAUUUAUGGUGUACCUGCUGCAGGAUACCAGCUGAGGUGGUCCUUGUAGUUCCUCCUGGACUUAAAAUCUAGAGCCCUCAGUUCCUUUCAGUUUGCAUUACACCUCUAGAAAAGCUGUCCGUGGAAUGUCUCUUGCAAUUGGCAUAUUUCAAAUCAGCAAGAGAACUUGCGUUGGUGGCCAGGGAAGGAGAACUUUUGUUAUGUUCUCUCCUACCUGCUUGUGACAUUCCUGGGUUUGUGAACCCAAGUACUUUUCGCACAUGCAUGUCCAACUCUAACAGGCCAGUAGCACUCAUGAAGGGCUUGCAAAUGUCUCUGAUGAGAGCCUUGUGCUCAUUACUUGAGUUUACAGCAAUUCACUGGAGAAUAGUUGCUUAAGCUUCUACAGAACUAUCCAGACCUCUCAUCCGGGUCUUCUUCAUACCUGUCUUCUGUCUGCCCAAUACCAUUCUCAGUGUUAGCAAUGAAAGACAUGGCAGGAUAAAACAGUGCUGUUCUAGAUGCCUAACCAAUGCAUAAUUGGACACUCAAGAACUCCAGUGAGCCACAACUUCAACGGACCUCAUAAACGAGUUGGUGCUAGAAAUGCUCCAUGAUGUGACAGGGCCUUGUGAAAAGCCAUACAUGAGCCACAUGAAGAACCACACCACUUAGCCACAAAGUGAAGGCUUUUUCUUUAUCCAGGGUAUGAACAUGGCAAUACUGCAAGUCUUCAUGAUAUGUAAGUAUAUAUAUUAAUAUAUAUUUAUAUACUUAUACAUCUGUAUGUGAAUCUCAUUAACUAUACUACAUACAUUGAUAUACAUAAAUGAAACAAAAUGGUCUUUCUGGCACUGCAAUUGCUUUAUCUGAACUUCUGACCUUACCAGCUGAACUUAGAGAUAUGUUCUAUCUCCUUCUUUCCCUUUUCAAGAAGUAAGAUGAAGAUAUAUGCUACAGUCAGAAGGAAUGAACAUA